GCCCUCGUAGCUCAAGGGAUAGAGCGCUUGGCUUCGAACCAAGAGGUUGGGGGUUCGAAUCCCUCCGAGGGUA
rnacentral:tRNA from 3 species